rnacentral:misc_RNA from 1 species
GUAUCCCUUUAUAAAGGACGCCUUCCUAGCAACAAUAAGUCUAUUCCUUCCCGCAACUACGCCGCAAACACCACCACAAGCACCCGCCGUCGCCGCCAGAAUCACUGCCAUCUCCUUUAUUCUUGGGGAACAAACUAUACCUUUGGAUGAGUAUGUCUUGCACGAGUUCGAAUGAAACUCUUGUAUAUUAACAGAAAUCAAGAUGUCAAACGUACCCACAUCUCUUUCUGAAGUAUGCCUUACUCUCUUCCGUUU